rnacentral:lncRNA from 1 species
GGUGGUGCUAUCCUGGAUUAGGAGGAGUCCUUCUUCCUGAUUGCCUACUACUGUUAAGAGCACUAAAGUAAGCUUUCCUGGCUGAUGAAGUCCAGCACACAAUGAUUUUAUAUUAUUCUUUGGGGAAAGAAAUCCCUGACCUCUGCAUACCCGCCAGAUCAGAAGUCCCUCCAAGGAUACAUUUCUGCUUGAUGCAGUGAUUAACAUGGAGUUAAUUCUCAGCUGUGUGAAAAUCCAAAGACUUCUGUCUGGACUGAAUGCAAUAGGUUGCACGUAACAGGAAGAAGUGUAACUUCUAAGCAGAGAUGGUCCCAGGAAAACUGUGAGGGAACAAAGAUUCCGCCUCAUCUGCCUUCAAACUCUCCUUUAUCCCAGGCUGUCAUCACACCUCCAGUAGACCUGUAACUGGAUGAUGUCAAAGCAAGGCAACAUUUUAUAAAAGUAAUCUCUCCAGUUCCGUGUUUUACUUGAUCUUAGCACUGCAUUUUUAAUAGACUGAAGAAGAGAUGG